rnacentral:lncRNA from 1 species
AGAUUUUGUUAAUUUCUGUUAUUUUUCAUUGAGGCAGAGAUGCCGAUUUCUUCAGGAGCUCAAGGACACAUUGGAUUUGGAGUAGACACAUCCAUCCAAUGGUUUCCUAAAGGAGGAAAGAAACUAUAUAUUCCUUUCAAGGUGAAUUCCUACCUCCAGAGGUAUUUAUAUUGCCACUCUGAAGCCAAAAGCAGACUUUUUCAUAAACAUUCAAAAAACUUCCAUUAUCCAGUCACUCAGUCAUGGCCUAUCAAGAAGAAAUCUUUUUCUAAGGAAAUAUUCAAACCAGAUGAAAAGACAAUCUGGAAAAAUCAGCAAGAAAGGAUAGCAUCCCAAAACGCAAGUGUUUUGGCUACUAGUACAGGGCUUGCCAGCAAAAGAAUGAUAAAGAAAACCCCAAAACAGAAAACUGAUGCAACCAGAUCUUCCUUUUGCACCCUGCUGUAAUCAUCACUGUAGGAAUUCGAGGAAGCAUAAUUUCAGAAACAUCCUGAGAGACCUAAUUUACGCCUUUUACCCAGACUGCAGCAUGAUUGACAACCACACAAUUCUUUAAAAUGGCAUUAAAUAACCCAGAAGUCCUAUGUUUUCGACAGCAGGCCUGAUUUCAUUCGAAUCCCCUUAUGUGCAUUUGGCCAGAAGCCUGCCUAGGAUCGAAGCCUUAACUAUAAUUGCUUCCUAACUAGUUAAGUCCCUAUUUUUUCCUAAUAAGGAAUAUACUGCUGCACCCGGAUAUUGCUUCCAGCUUUCCCGCAACGUUUUCAGAGGCAGAGACCAGCAUUGUGCCGUAAAAUUCUGGAUUUAUUUUUUUUAAAUCUCUGACCGUCGCUUAACAAGAAUCAGAUUUUGCCACGUUCGCAGCGGAAUAGGCGGUUCGUCAUAGGGACUUUGGAAAGCAGCGAACAAGAACUCUUCGGCCCUUCCCGCGCAAUUAUAGAAGAAAAAGCCUGGGAGGCCCAGCCUUCCGCUCCGUUCCCAAAGCAACGAGCCAAGAGCGAGGCACGUUCGUUAUUUUCCGGCGGGCCCUGACGUCACAUUACAUUGCCUUGCGGGAGGAGUUCCCACUCUCGGCCCCGCCUCCGAGCCACCAUCGAGGGAGCGCGAGGGGCGUCCUGACGUCACCCAAUCCUGUGCGGUGUUUUGUCUGGUGGGGAAAAAAAAAAAAAGUCGGGAGGUUGACGCCUCCCCUCCCCCCGCAGCCUAAGUCCGAGGAAGACAGAGACCGAGCUUU